rnacentral:misc_RNA from 1 species
CUGAUUUCCUCGGACGUCAGUGCCUUGUCGUCGUCCGCCAUUGCCCCCGGCCCCCUUUUGCUGCGUUACCGCGUCAGCUUCUUGUAUUUCACGCGAUGCGGGAUCACCGAAUCCUGGCCGAGACGGCGCAUCUUGUCCUUCUCGUAAUCCUGGAAGUUGCCCUCGAACCAUUCGACAUGGCUGUCGCCUUCGAAGGCCAGGAUAUGCGUGGCGAUGCGGUCGAGGAACCAGCGGUCAUGGCUGAUGAUGACGGCGCAACCGGCGAAAUCCUCCAACGCCUCUUCCAGAGCGCGCAGUGUAUCGACGUCGAGAUCGUUG